rnacentral:rRNA from 1 species
AUUGAACGCUGGCGGCAUGCCUUACACAUGCAAGUCGAACGGUAACAGGUCUUCGGAUGCUGACGAGUGGCGGACGGGUGAGUAAUACAUCGGAACGUGCCCGAUCGUGGGGGAUAACGCAGCGAAAGCUGUGCUAAUACCGCAUACGAUCUACGGAUGAAAGCAGGGGAUCGCAAGACCUUGCGCGGACGGAGCGGCCGAUGGCAGAUUAGGUAGUUGGUGGGGUAAAGGCUCACCAAGCCUGCGAUCUGUAGCUGGUCUGAGAGGACGACCAGCCACACUGGGACUGAGACACGGCCCAGACUCCUACGGGAGGCAGCAGUGGGGAAUUUUGGACAAUGGGCGCAAGCCUGAUCCAGCCAUGCCGCGUGCAGGAUGAAGGCCUUCGGGUUGUAAACUGCUUUUGUACGGAACGAAAAGACUCUGGUUAAUACCUGGGGUCCAUGACGGUACCGUAAGAAUAAGCACCGGCUAACUACGUGCCAGCAGCCGCCGUAA